UUGCCGCCCCCGCCCGCCCCCCCAGGGGAGGGAGAAGCAACCAAGAUGGCGCAGGCUCUAUCCGACGCCGAGUUCGAGCGGAUGCAGGCCCAGCUGUUGGAGCUGAGGACACAGAACUACCAGCUCGCCGACGAACUCCGCAAGCAAAACUCUGAGGUCAGCUCGCUGCGUCUGAGAUGCACCAACAUUGAGAAGGACCUGGCCAAGGCUCAGAAGGCUGUAACCAAAAGCAAGAAGGCUCAGG